rnacentral:rRNA from 1 species
GUCGGGUAAGUUCCGACCUGCACGAAUGGCGUAACGAUGGCCACGCUGUCUCCACGAGGGACUCAGUGAAAUUGAAUUCGCUGUGAAGAUGCAGCGUACCCGCGGCAAGACGGAAAGACCCCGUGAACCUUUACUAUAGCUUCACACUGGCCUUUGAAUAUGCUUGUGUAGGAUAGGUGGGAGGCAUUGAAGCGGGAACGCCAGUUCUCGUGGAGCCAUCCUUGAAAUACCACCCUGGUAUGUUUGAGGGUCUAACUCAGGCCCGUCAUCCGGGUCGAGGACAGUGUGUGGUGGGUAGUUUGACUGGGGCGGUCUCCUCCCAAAGAGUAACGGAGGAGCGCGAAGGUGCCCUCAGCGCGGUCGGAAAUCGCGCGGUGAGUGUAAAGGCAGAAGGGCGCUUGACUGCGAGACAGACAAGUCGAGCAGGUGCGAAAGCAGGCCUUAGUGAUCCGGUGGCACUGCAUGGAAGGGCCAUCGCUCAACGGAUAAAAGGUACUCCGGGGAUAACAGGCUGAUACCGCCCAAGAGUUCAUAUCGACGGCGGUGUUUGGCACCUCGAUGUCGGCUCAUCACAUCCUGGGGCUGUAGCCGGUCCCAAGGGUAUGGCUGUUCGCCAUUUAAAGUGGUACGCGAGCUGGGUUUAGAACGUCGUGAGACAGUUCGGUCCCUAUCUGCCGUGGGCGUUGGAGAAUUGAGAGGAGCUGCUCCUAGUACGAGAGGACCGGAGUGGACGUACCUCUGGUGUUCCGGUUGUCACGCCAGUGGCACUGCCGGGUAGCUAAGUACGGACGGGAUAACCGCUGAAAGCAUCUAAGCGGGAAGCCUCCCCCAAGAUGAGGUCUCCCUGGAUCCUUGAGAUCCCUGAAGGGCCCUCGAAGACUACGAGGUUGAUAGGCCGGGUGUGGAAGCGCAGUAAUGUGUGAAGCUAACCGGUACUAAUUGCCCGUGAGGCUUGACCAU